GAACGCUGGCGGCGUGCCUAACUACAUGCAGUCGAACGCUUUUGUUUUCACCGGAGCUUGCUCCACUGAAAACACAAAGAGUGGCGGACGGGUGAGUAACACGUGGGUAACCUGCCCUCAAGCGGGGGAUAACACUUGGAAACAGGUGCUAAUACCUGCAUAACAAUCAGAAUCGCAUGAUUUUGAUUUGAAAGGCGCUUUUGCGUCACUUGAGGAUGGACCCGCGGUGCAUUAGCUAGUUGGUGAGGUAACGGCUCACCAAGGCCACGAUGCAUAGCCAGACCUGAGAGGGUGAUCGGCCACACUGGCGACUGAGACACGGCCCAGACUCCUACGGGAGGCAGCAGUAGGGAAUCUUCGGCAAUGGACGGAAGUCUGACCGAGCAACGCCGCGUGAGUGAAGAAGGUUUUCGGAUCGUAAAACUCUGUUGUUAGAGAAGAACAAGGAUGACGAGUAGAAUGUUCAUCCCGUGACGGUAUCUAACCAGAAAGACCACGGAUAACUACGUGCCAGCAGCCGCGGUAAUACGUAGGUGGCAAGCGUUGUCCGGAUUUAUUGGGCGUAAAGCGAGCGCAGGCGGU
rnacentral:rRNA from 1 species